GGACCCGCACAAGCGGUGGAUGAUGUGGAUUAAUUCGAUGCAACGCGAAAAACCUUACCUACCCUUGACAUGUCAGGAAUUUUGCAGAGAUGCGAAAGUGCUCGAAAGAGAACCUGAACACAGGUGCUGCAUGGCUGUCGUCAGCUCGUGUCGUGAGAUGUUGGGUUAAGUCCCGCAACGAGCGCAACCCUUGUCAUUAGUUGCUACGCAAGGGCACUCUAAUGAGACUGCCGGUGACAAACCGGAGGAAGGUGGGGACGACGUCAAGUCCUCAUGGCCCUUAUGGGUAGGGCUUCACACGUCAUACAAUGGUUGGUACAGAGGGUUGCGAACCCGCGAGGGGGAGCUAAUCCCAAAAACCAAUCGUAGUCCGGAUUGGAGUCUGCAACUCGACUCCAUGAAGUCGGAAUCGCUAGUAAUCC
rnacentral:rRNA from 1 species